GGGGGGGGGGGGGGGGGGGGGGGGUGGGGGGGGGGCGGGCGAGGGGGGGGGGGGGUUGCUCCUCGGGCGUGGGCGGCGGACGGGUGGGGGGCACUGUGGGAAGCUACCUAUCGGACUGGUGUAACUUCGGGAAGCCGGCGCUGAAGCCGGGUAAUAGCUUGGACCGCAUGUUUAACUAGCAAAAGACCGUUUUGCUGUCACUUAUAGCUUGCACCGCGCCGCAUUAGCUAGUUGGUAAGGUAACGGCUUACCAAGGCAACGAUGCGUAGCCGACCUGAGAGGGUGAUCGGCCACACUGGAACUGAGACACGGUCCAGACUCCUACGGGAGGCAGCAGUAGGGAAUCUUCCGCAAUGGGCGAAAGCUUGACGGAGCAACGCCGCGUGAGUGAUGAAGGUCUUCGGAUCGUAAAACUCUGUUAUUAGGGAAGAACAAAUGUGUAAGUAACUAUGCACGUCUUGACGGUACCUAAUCAGAAAGCCACGGCUAACUACGUG
rnacentral:rRNA from 1 species